rnacentral:lncRNA from 1 species
CUAGCACUAAGGUGAUGGUAUACUCUGUUUUUAUCAUAAGAGCGUGCAAUCACUACAAAACAAGUCUAGAAUGACUACAAUGAUAAUUAUAAGUUAAUUAAUCACUAUAAUACAAGCCUAAAGUACAAAAUUAAUCACAUGACUCUUAGUAGUUUCCUAUAUGAAUAUAGAUUUUUUUAAGUUACAAUUAUCCUCCUCUGAUAGUCUUAAGGGACAUUAAUGUGUGUAUACAUCUGGCUAUAAAAUUACUAGCAAUUAACAACUAUGUUAUUUUAAUUAUUGAAUUCUCAUUAGCUUGGGCUGAUCAACUUAGUACUCAAAACACACAUAGACUGUUCAAUUACUAUAAUAU